AGCUUUGCGCAGUGGCAGUAUCGUAGCCAAUGAGGUUUAUCCGAGGCGCGAUUAUUGCUAAUUGAAAAAAAAAAAAGUUAAAAAUGGAGCUACCCUGUGGCCCAGACAUUGCACUACUGGGUAUUUACCCCAAAGAUAUAGAUGU
rnacentral:snRNA from 1 species